CAUCGCUCCAACGCUCAGCGCCCAUAAUUUGCUCAACUUCCCAGCUCCAUCGCAGCUAAAGUUGAGACUUCAAAGGCCAAGAAAAUGUCCAGAGUACCAAAGACAUCAUCCACCUGUAAAAGAAAAAUAAUGUGUCCCAGUUCAAUAUACUAACACCUACCAAUAAUUUUCACUUUGGUUGUGGGAAGCUGCUCCUCCUAGAUGCAAUCCACUGAAGACUCCAAAAGGACAGGGAAAACUCCAGAGUAACAAGGACAACAUCCACCUGUAAAAGAAAAAUAAAGUAUAUCAAACAGG
rnacentral:lncRNA from 1 species